CNAUUUNUUUUGAUUGAUUUGAGGGUNNNNNGGAAUAAGGGGCUGCUAAACUCGUGCCAGCAGCAGCGGUAAAACGAGUGCCCCAAGCGUUGUCCGGAAUUAUUGGGCGUAAAGCGUCUGUAGGGGGUUUGACUUGUCCUUUGUUAAAUCUUGUUGCUCAACAACAGGGCUGCAGAGGAAACGGUCAAACUAGAGGAUGUGAGAGGCUGAUGGAACUCAGGGAGGAGGGGUGAAAUCCGUUGAUACCCUGAGGAACACCAAAGGCGAAGGCAUUCAGCUGGCGCAUUCCUGACCNUGAGAGACGAAAGCGUGGGGAGCGAACGGGAUUAGAUACCCCGGUAGUCCACGCCCUAAACGAUGGGUACUAAUUGUUUGAAGUAUCGACCCUUCAAGUGGUAAAGCUAACGCAUUAAGUACCCCGCCUGGGAAGUACGAUCGCAAGAUUAAAACUCAAAGGAAUAGACGGGAGCUUGCACAAGCGGUGGAGCGUCUGGUUUAAUUCGACGAUAAGCGAAGAACCUUACCAGGGCUUGACAUUUCGAUGAAAAUCCGAUGAAAAUCGGAUCCUCUACAAGGACAUCGGAACAGGUGCUGCAUGGCUGUCGUCAGCUUGUGACGUGAGUCGCUCCGUUAAGUCGGGUAACAAGCGCAACCCCCGUCCCGUGUUAUAUGUGUCACGGGAGACUGCCUCGUUAUACGCGGAGGAAGGUGGGGAUGACGCCAAGUCAGCAUGGCCCUUUGAUGCCCUGGGCGACACAGGCGCUACAAUGGCCAAUACAAUGGGUUGCUAAGCCGUAAGGUGGAGCCAAUCCCAUCAAAGUUGGUCCCAGUUCGGAUUGGGGUCUGAAAUUCGACCUCAUGAAGCUGGAAUCGCUAGUAAUCGCAGAUCAGCCACGCUGCGGUGAAUACGUUCUCAAGCUUUGUACACACCGCCCGU
rnacentral:rRNA from 1 species